GUCAACCACCCAUCACUUCCCUUCGGGUAAGUGAUGGCUUGUAAAAGCCUAGUUGGACUCAGUUCUUAACCGAACUACGUUAGAGGUAAGAGUUAAAGACCUACCAGGGGAUGCGUAGCUAGUACAAAACGGCGUAAAUAAACCAACCAUUCUAAAUCCUCCAAAAGCCUAUACUGUCUUCAUUUUGACUUUUGACUUUUGACUUUUGACUUCCGCCUUGCGGUACUAGUUCCCUGCUCUAGAACUUCAAAGUUAAACAGGCUUAAGGGUUAAACCAGUGCUUUUAAGAUAGUUACCGACCUCUAACAUUGUCUAAGCUAACAUUAC
rfam:Aphanizomenon flos-aquae 2012/KM/D3 spades_129_len_New_1:13852, whole genome shotgun sequence.